rnacentral:rRNA from 1 species
UAAGCGGAGGAAAAGAAACUAACAAGGAUUCCCCUAGUAACGGCGAGUGAAGCGGGAAGAGCUCAAAUUUGAAAUCUAACGGACUCAGUCUGUUCGAGUUGUAAUCUAUAGGAACGUUUUCCGUGCCGGCUCAUGUACAAGUCCCUUGGAACAGGGCGUCAUAGAGGGUGAGAAUCCCGUACUUGACAUGAACUACCGGUGCUCUGUGAUACGUCUCCAACGAGUCGAGUUGUUUGGGAAUGCAGCUCAAAAUGGGUGGUAAAUUCCAUCUAAAGCUAAAUAUUGGUGUGAGACCGAUAGCGAACAAGUACCGUGAGGGAAAGAUGAAAAGCACUUUGGAAAGAGAGUUAAACAGUAUGUGAAAUUGUUGAAAGGGAAACGAUUGAAGUCAGUCAUGUCCUUCAGAUUCAGCUGGUUCUGCCGGUGUAUUUCUGUUGGAUGGGGUCAACAUCAGUUUUGGAUGCCGGAUAAAGGCUGGAGGAAGGUAGCACCCCCGGGUGAACUUAUAGCCUCCUGUCGCAUACGGUGACCGGGACUGAGGAACGCAGCUUGCCUUUAUGGCCGGGGUUCGCCCACGUACAAGCUUAGGAUGUUGACAUAAUGGCUUUAAACGACCCGUCUUGAAACACG